GAGGGUAUAGCUCAAGUGGUAGAGCACAUGCUUAGCAUAGACAGGGUCCUGGGUUCAAUCCCCAGUACCACCU
rnacentral:tRNA from 1 species